ensembl:lncRNA
CAGGAGUUAAAAGCUUUUUAGGAUCAUGUUAUCUUUCCUUAAAAUCUGGUUAGAUGGAUAAUUUCAUAACCUAUUUUUUUUUUACUCUUUACUUCUGUUGAAACAGGCUUCACUGUAUAAAUAGGAGAGGAUGAGAGCCCAGAGCAUUGAUAUGAACCAUGGACAAGUAUAUUCUGCUGCCACAAAGACUGUAAAGUGCUUCAUUUCAACAGCUGAGGCAAGCCAAGUGAUCAUUAAUAAAGCUUUUCUUGGUUCCUUCAGUGGUGUUGGUAGUAAAAUGGAAGGUGUCUUGCUGCAGGUAACUAAUGAAGAAGUGGUCAACCACAGAGUCUUCAAGAAAUAAGAAAUUCUGUACCAUCUGAAAGUAGUUCUUGUUGGUGCCUUCAUUUUAAAA